rnacentral:snoRNA from 1 species
UGCCUUUGUGUUGCCCUUUCAUUGUCAUCUUCAUGAACAGGGUGUCUACUAAGGCAUACAGUGACUCUUGCAGUUGUGACAGAAAUGUAUCAUCAUUGAUCCUUUUCUACACACUCGACUGCAAGCACAGAU